AAAAUAUACCUUUUAUAAAGUACCUAUGGCAAACGUGUUAGCAAACAAACGUUGUCAUUGUAGGCAAAGAGCACAACCCUCCUCCUCCCCUUGCAUCUCCGGUCUUCAUCACGAACGGCUCCUGGGUCCUCCUCCGGCAGGCCGCUACUGUCGGGUCCUCGGUUUGGUCUUCGGUCUCCUCACGCUACCACCGGUGUCUAGACUCCAUCGGGGGAUUAACUUUCGGCUUUCUACAACUUAAAAAUCAUUUCAUAAGGAUGGAGUAGAAUCUCCAAAGACUGUACAAUUCAUAUUAUGCAUAUGUACAAUAAAUCUUGCAUAUCUGCAACAAACUCUC